ensembl:snoRNA SNORD15 Small nucleolar RNA SNORD15
CUUCGGUGAUGAUACGAUGACGAGUCGGAAGAGGACACCAACUAGUUCUGUGGGUUACUGGUCCAGGUCCACGUUCUGUGGUUCUGGUUCAGUUCCUCAGAGCAGGGUGUCCUGUUCAGUUGAAGACAUAGAGGCAUUUGUCUGAGAAGG